AGUGAACGCUGGCGGUAGGCCUAACACAUGCAAGUCGAACGGCAGCACAGUAAGAGCUUGCUCUUACGGGUGGCGAGUGGCGGACGGGUGAGGAAUACAUCGGAAUCUACUUUUUCGUGGGGGAUAACGUAGGGAAACUUACGCUAAUACCGCAUACGACCUACGGGUGAAAGCAGGGGAUCUUCGGACCUUGCGCGAUUGAAUGAGCCGAUGUCGGAUUAGCUAGUUGGCGGGGUAAAGGCCCACCAAGGCGACGAUCCGUAGCUGGUCUGAGAGGAUGGUCAGCCACACUGGAACUGAGCCACGGUCCAGACUCCUACGGGAGGCAGCAGUGGGGAAUAUUGGACAAUGGGCGCAAGCCUGAUCCAGCCAUACCGCGUGGGUGAAGAAGGCCUUCGGGUUGUAAAGACCUUUUGUUGGGAAAGAAAAGCAGCAGGUUAAUACCCCGCUGUUCUGACGGUACCCAAAGAAUAAGCACCGGCUAACUUCGUG
rnacentral:rRNA from 1 species